rnacentral:rRNA from 1 species
GAUGAACGCUGGCGGCGUGCCUAAUACAUGCAAGUCGAGCGAAUGGAUUAAGAGCUUGCUCUUAUGAAGUUAGCGGCGGACGGGUGAGUAACACGUGGGUAACCUGCCCAUAAGACUGGGAUAACUCCGGGAAACCGGGGCUAAUACCGGAUAACAUUUUGAACCGCAUGGUUCGAAAUUGAAAGGCGGCUUCGGCUGUCACUUAUGGAUGGACCCGCGUCGCAUUAGCUAGUUGGUGAGGUAACGGCUCACCAAGGCAACGAUGCGUAGCCAACCUGAAAGGGUGUUCGGCCACACUGGGACUGCGACACGGCCCAGACGCCUACGGGAGGCAGCAGUAGGGAAGCUUCCGCAAUGGACGAAAGUCUGACGGAGCAACGCCGCGUGAGGGAUGAAGGCUUUCGGGUCGUAAAACUCUGUUGUUAGGGAAGAACAAGUGCUAGUUGAAUAAGCUGGCACCUUGACGGUACCUAACCAGAAAGCCACGGCUAACUACGUGCCAGCCGCCGCAGUAA